UGCAGUGGCAGUCAAUUCCACAGAGGAUGC
rnacentral:piRNA from 1 species